rnacentral:rRNA from 1 species
UACGUAGGGUGCGAGCGUUGUCCGGAAUUAUUGGGCGUAAAGAGCUCGUAGGCGGUGUGUCACGUCGUUCGUGAAAACCUGCAGCUUAACUGUGGGCGUGCGGUGGGUACGGGCAGACUAGAGUGUGGUAGGGGAGACUGGAAUUCCUGGUGUAGCGGUGAAAUGCGCAGAUAUCAGGAGGAACACCGAUGGCGAAGGCAGGUCUCUGGGCCACUACUGACGCUGAGAAGCGAAAGCAUGGGGAGCGAACAGG